GGGCGCGUAGUGGAGUGGUUACCACGUUGGUCUUCGAUUCGAACCAAAGUUCAUCAGUUCGAUCCUGGUCGUGCUCA
rnacentral:tRNA from 1 species